UAGAUACCCUGGUAGUCCACGCCCUAAACGAUGCACACUAGUUGUUGCUAUGCUCGACAUAGCAGUAAUGCAGUUAACACAGUAAGUGUGCCGCCUGGGGAGUACGGUCGCAAGAUUAAAACUCAAAGGAAUAGACGGGGACCCGCACAAGCGGUGGAGCAUGUGGUUUAAUUCGACGAUACGCGAAGAACCUUACCUGGCCUUGACAUAGAGAGAAUCUUUUAGAGAUAGAAGAGUGCUAGUUUACUAGAACUUUCAUACAGGUGCUGCACGGCUGUCGUCAGCUCGUGUCGUGAGAUGUUGGGAUAAGUCCCGCAACGAGCGCAACCCUCGUGUUUAGUUACUAACAGUUCGGCUGAGGACUCUAAACAGACUGCCUGGGUAACCAGGAGGAAGGUGAGGACGACGUCAAGUCAUCAUGGCCCUUACGGCCAGGGCUACACACGUGCUACAAUGGGGUAUACAAAGAGCAGCAAUACGGUGACGUGGAGCAAAUCUCAUAAAAUAUCUCCCAGUUCGGAUUGAAGUCUGCAACUCGACUUCAUGAAGUUGGAAUCGCUAGUAAUCGUAGAUCAGCAAUGCUACGGUGAAUACGUUCCCGGGUCUUGUACUCACCGCCCGUCACACCAUGGGAAUUGAAUUCAUUCGAAGCGGGGAUGCUAAAAUAGCUACCUUCCACAGUGGAUUUAGUAACUAGGGUGAAGUCGUAACAAGGUA
rnacentral:rRNA from 1 species